AGAUUUAAAACACAAGUUUAUGAGAAAGGAGCAAUUAUGACUCCAUUGCUUACAGGUUUCUUACUGUAGGAAUAAUUGGUAUAUAAGAAAAAUGCAAUUAUUUGUAAUCAUUGUUACUAAUGAUAUGGUUUAUUACAAAAAUAGGUCAAUCAAAUAAAUUGUUUGCAAAUUCACGAGAAUGGCAGAACAUAAUUACAUUUUGUUUAUCCCUGAACUAUUCUAAAGCUAUCUGCACACAUUUAAAUGCUAAAAUCUCCGCAUAUCAAUGUCACUCUGCUUCACAAUUGCAAUUAUAAGCUUUUUAAUAUCGCAUCUUACUUCUUCUUUGUUGCAGGCCCAUUUGCCCGGACCCAAGAAAGAAACAAAAGAACCCAUACCAGCAGACCCACCAACUCCGCCGGCCGCCGCACGUCCCAUCGCUGCACCUGCUCCUGGCUGCCUCACCUUUCCUCUGACCGCCGACGCACGGCCUCACCUGCUCCACCAACUCCUCUGACUCCCUGCAAGAUGAAACCAAACACGCAAAACAGAGACAAAAAUAGAUAAAGAACUCAUGUAAAAUGGCUAUAAAAAGCCAAGCAAAAUCAGUUGUAUGGGGUUCGGUCCCUUUUUCUUAAAAAAACAAGAAAUAAAAGGUGAUUUUUUGGUUUUUACAAUAGUUUCUUUCAUCUAGUUCUUGGUUUUGAUUUCUUUGUUUUUUUUAUUGUGUUUUAGUUCUUUUUUCUGUUUCAUGUACGAAAAUAAACGAAAAGGUAAAGAGAAAGGUAACCUCACCUUGAUCUUCCCACAGACUCAUCGCUGGAGAUCUCUUCUCCAAUCGCCGAAGUCGAACCGGGGAGAGGGGGGACCUUUCUUUCGAUUUCUUUGGGGUUGAGAAGGCUUGGCCUUCGAAUGUGCCUCAAAACGAGGCUAAGAAGCCCAUCUCCGCGCUUCGUCGGCCACCGGGUACGGUGGUGGUACGGCGGGCGGUGGAGAACAUGAUCGACGGAGAGAAAUAGGGGAGGGAGAGAAAGCAAACAGCUUUCUGUUCUUU
rnacentral:lncRNA from 1 species